UCUGAUCUGGUUGUAAUAACACACAGCUUUAACUGCCUCCCACUGUUUUGUCCACAGUGAAUAAAUAGCAGCAUGAACAAAGACUGCUGUCGCUGAACAAGUUUGACAAGCAACAACUGAAAUCUUAGUCUGGAGCUGAGCAGCAGUGAAGUGCGUCUCGUGUACCGGCAGACAUGAAUGAGUCAUUUUCUAAAGCAGCAAAGGAAGCGGUGAGGUUGAAGCAGAUGCCAGACAGAGGCGAAAUGUCUGAGCUGUACGGCUUGUAUAAGCAAGCCACAUGUGGCAAUAAUACAACAGGAAACAGACACAAGAAGUAGGGUGAGAUCAUGAAUGAGGCCUGACAAGUUUGGUUUCAUUCAUUCAAGAAAAUUCUUCCAGCACUAUAGCCUCAAAUGUUUGGCUGCACAAUUGAAAAAAAAAUAAGAAUACCCAGGAUUCUUUGACUUCAAAGGCAAAGCGAAAUGGGAUGCGUGGAAUUCACGAAAAGGUCUGUCCAGAGAAGAGGCAAUGAACAAAUACGUUGACUUGGUGGAGAGCCUGAAAAACAAAUACGGCUUAGAUUCUGAUUAGGAAUGAUUUAGUGUUUUAACUUUCGGCUGUCAGGAGAAACUGAGAUAGAAUUUGUAAG